rnacentral:rRNA from 1 species
CGGUAAGCUUUAACAUGCAAGUCGAACGGCAGCACGGACUUCGGUCUGGUGGCGAGUGGCGAACGGGUGAGUAAUACAUCGGAACGUGCCCAAUCGUGGGGGAUAACGUAGCGAAAGCUACGCUAAUACCGCAUACGAUCUAAGGAUGAAAGCGGGGGAUCGCAAGACCUCGCGCGAAUGGAGCGGCCGAUGGCAGAUUAGGUAGUUGGUAGGGUAAAGGCCUACCAAGCCGACGAUCUGUAGCUGGUCUGAGAGGAUGAUCAGCCACACUGGGACUGAGACACGGCCCAGACUCCUACGGGAGGCAGCAGUGGGGAAUUUUGGACAAUGGACGCAAGUCUGAUCCAGCCAUCCGCGUGCAGGAUGAAGGCCCUCGGGUUGUAAACUGCUUUUGUACAGAACGAAAAGGCUCUGGUUAAUACCUGGGGCUCAUGACGGUACUGUAAGAAUAAGCACCGGCUAACUACGUGCCAGCAGCCGCGGUAAUACGUAGGGUGCAAGCGUUAAUCGGAAUUACUGGGCGUAAAGCGUGCGCAGGCGGUGAUGUAAGACAGAGGUGAAAUCCCCGGGCUCAACCUGGGAACUGCCUUUGUGACUGCAUCGCUGGAGUACGGCAGAGGGGGAUGGAAUUCCGCGUGUAGCAGUGAAAUGCGUAGAUAUGCGGAGGAACACCGAUGGCGAAGGCAAUCCCCUGGGCCUGGUACUGACGCUCAUGCACGAAAGCCGUGGGGGGAGCAAAACAAGGGAUUUAGAUACCCUGGGUAGUCCACGCCCUUAAACGAUUGUCCACUUGGGUUGUUUGGGGUCUUCC